UCCGUAGGCGGGCGUCUAAGUCAGUGGUGAAAUCUUACAGCUCAACUGUAAAGUUGCCAUUGAUACUGGAUGUCUUGAAUUAGUGUGAAGUGGUUAGAAUGUGUAGUGUAGCGGUGAAAUGCAUAGAUAUUACACAGAAUACCAAUUGCGAAGGCAGAUCACUAACACUAUAUUGACGCUGAGGGACGAAAGCGUGGGGAGCGAACAGGAUUAGAUACCCUGGUAGUCC
rnacentral:rRNA from 1 species